AUGGAUUCAAUUGCACGGCUUCCCUUCGACCUCAUCCGGCGCAGCGUCACCCAUCCAUGAACAUGUCAAUGGCGAUUGAGAAGAGUUCCGAAUAAAUCGAGCAAAAAAAUAAAAAUAAAAAGUUGAUCGACGCAGGGAAACAAGAUCGGAGGUGGCAAGCGAGAGAUUAGAGGAGGAGAAAGAGUCAAGCAUGGAAGGAAUCGAGCAAAUCAAAUCAUCAAAGGAGAAAGAUCGCAUGGCGGGUGCUCGCUUUUGGAUUUUGCCCUGGUCAAUGAAAGCCAAGACGAGAAGGUGCAGAAACAACCUUCCUUUUUUCUCCGCAACCGCCUUCGCUUACCCUACGCCCCUUCUCUAUAUCUACCUCUCUUGUCUUCAUCGUCCCUUCUUUGUCCGCUUGUUUCGAAGAAGAAGAAGAUGAGGAGGGUCGCCGAGGAGACAUCGCCAUCCACUUCUUGCGCUGCCCCUAAUGGCGACGAUGUCAGGAAAAGAUUCAGAUUCCAAUCGCUCUUUCAAGAUUACAUGGAAUUGAUUAAGGAAACUGAAGAAAAGAAGAGGAGACUGGUGGAGAGUGGAGACGAGACAAAAGAAACGGAGACUCUUGUCUGAAGUCAGAUUUUUGAGAAGAAAAUAUGAGAUUCUAUCUGCAAACCAAUGUCAGCAAUUUAGAUUGAAGGAGCCAUCUGACACAGAGCCCGUGAUCAUUGAUCAACCUGGGAACAAGCUUGUUCUCAGCGGAAAGCCUCCUACAGGAAAGAAGCCCAAACCAUCUGAAGCUGCACGUACAAGUAACUACAAUUUGAAUUCUUUGAAUACACAUACAUCUCAGUGUCAGUUUACAAAGACAUCUCGGAAAAGGCCAGCCGAAUCCCUGUGCUUUGUACAAUCUUCAUCAACGCACUUCAGGGUAAUGGAAGCUGCAAAUGCUAGCACUUCAGCAACGCUAGGUGUGAAUGAAGUAGCUUUUAAGAAUGGGCAAGAAAUGAACCAGUUUAAGUUGGAGCAGAAUCACAAGCAAAUGCAGAAGUUCAAUAGAGUGCCUAUGAUUGGAGGGGGCUCAAAAGAUAAGUUGGCUAUUUGUAGAGAUCCUGGAAACAACUCCAAGAAGAUUGGUAAGAGAAAACUCUCUUGGCGAGACCCACUGGUGUUGGAGGUUUGAAGUUUGAUGGGAAACUUUGCUUUUAGUUGUCACUAGCUCAUACAAGGUGAGAUGGAGAACGCAACUGUAUUCUUGUUACAAACGGAUAAAUCUAUGAAUAUUCUAUCUACUGCCACGGUGCAGUUCAUCUAAAAAUAUUUUGUGAAUAAGCUAGUUGGUUUGUCUCUAUUCGAUCUA